CGCGCGCGGGAAGCGCCCGUGGUGGCCGCUCGGUCCUGUGCGGCCGCCGCGCGUCAUGGCCUCCUCGGUGCCCGGCUACUCGCCCAGCUUCAAAAAGCCGCCCGAGACCCUGCGGCUGCGACGGAAACGGGCCCGGAGCCUGGGGGCCGAGCUCGCGCCCGGGGGGCGGCCCGAGCCGGCGCCCCGCCGAGCCGCUCUGGCGGCCGGGCUGCCCCUGCGCCCCUAUCCGGCGGCGGGCAGAGGCGGCGGCCCGGGCGCGCCCGGCAGGAACCCCUUCGCCCGCCUGGACAACCGGCCGCGGGCCGCCGCGGAGCCUCCGGACGGGCCGCCCCAGGCGCCGGGCCCGUUUCCAGGUUCCCGUCGGGAGCGUGACGUGCUGCGGGCAGAGAAGCCGGAAGGAACAGCCCUGGCCGGACCGCUCCAGGGAGCGCCCGAGAUGCCAUCGCAUACUUCACACAGAUCAUUCUCCGAAUCUGAUAUGCCCCCCUCAGGAAGUGCAGAGUUACCUGUGGACUGGAGUCUUAAAACGCGACUCCUUUUCACCUCUUCUCACCCCUUCGCCUGGGCAGAUCACUUGAAAGCACAGGAAGAGGCCCAGGGUGUCGUCCAGCAUUGCAGAGCAGUAGACGUUACUCUGCCUCCAAGUAUACAGGACCCCAAGCUCUGCACUGAGCUGCGAUGUGCCUUCCAGCAGAGCCUGGUCUACUGGCUGCACCCCGCCUUUCCCUGGCUCUCCCUGUUCCCGCGGAUUGGAGCUGACCGGAAAAUGUCUGCAAAGACAAGCCCUUGGUCGAAUGAUGAAUCCCUACAACACAUUUUAAUGAGUGACUGGUCUGUGAGCUUCACUUCUUUAUAUAAUCUUCUGAAGACAAAACUUUGCCCCUAUUUCUACGUUUGUACCUAUCAAUUUACUAUCCUGUUUCGUGCAGCAGGAUUAGCAGGAAAUGAUGUAAUCACGGCUCUCAUAUCGCCUACAACUAGAGGUAUAAGAGAAGCUAUGAAAAAUGAAGGUAUCGAAUUUUCUCUGCCUUUAGUAAAAGAAAGUGGCCAUGAGAAGAAGAAAGCAUCUGGGACAAGCUUGGGACCUGGGGAGGAGCAAGCCAUCAGUGAUGAGGAUGAAGAAGAAAGUUUCUCCUGGCUGGAAGAGAUGGGUGUGCAAGAUAAAAUUAAAAAGCCAGACAUGCUCUCCAUCAAGCUGCGUAAAGAGAAACACGAGGUACAAGUGGACCACAGACCUGAGUCUGUCGUGUUGGUGAAGGGAGCAAACACCUUGACGUUGCUGAAUUUUUUGAUCAACUGUCGGAGCGUGAUCGCUGCUUCAGGUCCACAGGCAGGACUUCCGCCAACUCUCCUGUCCCCGAGAGCGUUCCGGGGUGCCACCAUGCAGAUGCUGAAGGCACGAAGUGUGAAUGUGAAGAAGCAGGGUGUUUCUGGAUACAAAGAUCAAUUCAGCUUGGAGAUCACAGGUCCCAUCAUGCCUCAUUCUCUACAUUCUGUGACCAUGCUCCUCAGGUCCUCACAGAGGGGGUCCUUCUCUGCAGGACUGUAUACACACGAGCCUACCGCUGUGUUUAACAUCUGCCCACCCGUGGAUCAAGUACUGGGAAAGGAGACUGUGCGUGAGGAGCUUGCCAACUGUGGGUUGCACCCUAAAACUCUGGACCAACUUAGCCAAACACCAGUACUGGGGAAAUCCUCCUUACGGAGUGUGGAAAUGAGUGACUACGUCUAUAAUUGGAGAUCCUGACCACCAAACUUUUUAAUUACAUGCUAGGGAGAAAGCAUGCCAAUGAUUUGUGUGACAGACAUUAAGUCCAACAAGGUGCUCUGAUGGAAGGAGGCGGCUGUGGAGUUAUUUCACCCAAGAAAAUUCAUUUUUGGAAAAUGCUGUAUGUCAUCGGAAGGUUUCCCUAUAUUAAUGUACAAAGAAUAAUUAGAACCCACUCUCCGUAAACGCUGUCUGCUUCCUUUUUUCGGUGCUGAGACCCAGACGACACAGGAAAUUCUUUUGUUAACGUGACCUGGCUUUUUGGAGGAGUGGGCUUUGCGGCAGCAAUCUAAAAAAGUAAAGUUUCUUAAUUACUCCUUCAA